rnacentral:rRNA from 1 species
UACGUAGGGGGCGAGCGUUGUCCGGAUUUAUUGGGCGUAAAGAGCGUGUAGGCGGCCAUGCAGGUCCGUUGUGAAAACUCGAGGCUCAACCUCGAGACGCCGAUGGAAACCGCAUGGCUAGAGUCCGGAAGAGGAGAGUGGAAUUCCUGGUGUAGCGGUGAAAUGCGCAGAUAUCAGGAAGAACACCCGUGGCUAAGGCGGCUCUCUAGUACGGUACUGACGCUGAGACGCGAAAGCGUGGGGAGCGAACAGG